UAUUAAUGUAUCAAACAGCUUCGCUCAUAUUCCACAGGCUUAAAGAUGAGGCCAAGAAAUGAUGAAGAAUGGAUGAGUGCUGCAAUGUUGAUCUAGUUUACAAAAUACACCUAAAUACACACACACACACACACACACACACACACACACACACACACACACACACACACACACACACACACACACACACACACACACACACAC